rnacentral:tRNA from 1 species
GCGGCCGUGGUCUAGCGGUUAUGACGGUAGGUUCCCAACCUAUCAACCCGGGUUCAAGUCCCGGCGGCCGCA